AAGCAGUUAGGUUUCAGUCUUGUAAGUCUGUUGCACAAAUAUUAAUGCAGAACUUACAUUAUUAUCCAAUUUUAUAGUUCCUAGGACAGGUCCUGCUAAUGUGACAAUUCUGAAUGUCACAAAGCAUUCUGCAUUUGUGAAGUGGACCAAAAUAGCUGCCGAAGACUGCUUGGGCUUUCUCCAGGGAUACAGGAUCAGCUACACAGAUUCAUCAGGGAAAAAGUCUCCGGCUGUUACUCUCAAUUCUUCUACCACAAGUUACCAUCUUACCACGCUGAAGGAAAAAACCAUCUACCGAGUGCAGAUCUCAGGAUUCACUAAUGCUGGUGAAGGACCUCUGACUCUUUCACAACCUUUCACCACUCCAAAAUAUGAUAAAGGAGAAUUUGAAGGUUUCGUGGCCAUCCUUUGCUUCAGCAUGCUGUUCAUUCUGAUUUUUGCACCUGUCACUUGUUCUCUAGUGCUUAAAAGGCUGAAAAUAUCAUGUUGGCCCAGCGUACCAAGUCCAAGAAACAGCAGUGCGCUUCAAGAUAUGACUAAUUGGAAGCCUGUUUCAAGGUCACUGCUUCAGGCCCUGUCAGACAAUGAUACCACCAGCCUUUAUGUCAUAGAGCAUGAUUCAAAGGCUCCUUUGAAGCUAGACCUCUUUACAGAUGGUGGGGAAGACAGCAAGUCAGGAAGUGACACUGGCCAGUCAGAAGAACCUAGCAAUAACACAGACAUAAGCCAAAGGCACGAAGAAAUCCCUGAAAAAGCAGUUACAAGUGAAGAAGAAGGAAUCAUUUCCAUUACAGUACCACUCCUGAGUGACUACACCAGCAUGGAGUUCAGCCAGAAAGCCCUGAUGAGUCUGACAGUGAAGCUGCCUGCAAGAGCUGCUCGACCUCAUCUGGAAAUGGAACUAAGCAGUAAGCCAGCACAAACUGAGCAUCAGGUUUUGUUUGCUCCCCAAGACUACCUCAAACAAAGCCAGGUAGUAUUUUUGCCAUCUGGACCAACUGUG
rnacentral:lncRNA from 1 species